rnacentral:rRNA from 1 species
GGGGAAUCUUGCGCAAUGGGCGAAAGCCUGACGCAGCGACGCCGCGUGAGGGAUGACGGCCUUCGGGUUGUAAACCUCUUUCAGCCCUGACGAAGCGAAAGUGACGGUAGGGGCAGAAGAAGCACCGGCCAACUACGUGCCAGCAGCCGCGGUAAUACGUAGGGUGCAAGCGUUGUCCGGAAUUAUUGGGCGUAAAGAGCUCGUAGGUGGCCUGUCGCGUCGGCUGUGAAAACUCGGGGCUCAACUCCGAGCUUGCAGUCGAUACGGGCAGGCUAGAGUGCGGCAGGGGAGACUGGAAUUCCUGGUGUAGCGGUGAAAUGCGCAGAUAUCAGGAGGAACACCGGUGGCGAAGGCGGGUCUCUGGGCCGAUACUGACACUGAGGAGCGAAAGCGUGGGGAGCGAAC